UCUUUGUUGCACCAGAUAGGGCUGUUUCGGGUUUUCACGGUUCUUAUUUUGUAUUAUACAUUGUUCAAGUUAUCAUCUUUAUUAAAUAUGUAUAAAAAUAACCACGCUGCGUUUUGGUCCGCCUCUCCGUCCCAGGAAGCGUUCCGUCACAGAAUCAACCACCAACCAAGGACCAAGCGGCGUGGUAAAAGACAGCGACGACAGCAGCAGCAGCAGCAACAACAGCGGCCAGCAUCACAGGACUCCUGGACAUGGGAGGAGAUAUUGAACGGAGAGGGACCCUGGUCACAGGCUGGGGAAUAUCGCCGCCCCAAAGCAGAGCUGGAGGCAGUGAAAGCUGAGCGGCGGCAAUAUGAGGAGGCAGCACGGCAGCGCGACAGAUGAAGAGGACGCUCGUGACAAUUUGGGAACUUCACAGUCCCAUUGAUCAAACAACCAUGAAAGGAAUGAGAGGUGGUGGAGGAGGUGUGCAGAGUCCUGGAACCCUUUGAGCAGGUCACUGUGGAGAUCAGUGGAAAGAGCUAUGUGACAGCCUUAAAAAUGAUACUCUGUGUAAGGGUCUGCAGUGAAUCACAUCCAGCCGCCAGAGAGAAGCAAAUGUAACCACAGGACAUGUGACAGAGUUGAUGGACACCCUACGUUAAUCAAUGGACAGGAAGUUCAACAGAAUGGAAAAUAAUCUUGUGCUAUCAGAACCGCUGCACUUGACCCCAGGUUUAAGAAGUUAGCCUUCAGUGAUAACAGAGUGAUUGAUGAGGCUCUUCAAAGAAUAACUUCAGCAGCAGGGAGGGACAGCCCCAGCAGUCAGCAGGCUCAGGCACCAGGGCAACAGGAAGAAGAGGGAUCAGAUGGAGCAGAAGCACCAGCAGUAGUGCCACAAACGUCUGCUGUUUGGAUGUUGUUUGACGAGAGAGCAACUGGGGAUGCAGCACAAAGAUGCCAUAACGGAAGUCAGAUCCUUUUUGUUUUAAGUGGGAUGCUGCAGUUUUGCACAUUAUUUAUUUUUCUUUGAUAUGGUGCAAUAUUCUAUUAUUAUGCUGUUCAGAUUAUAUUAGUCUUGAAUUGUUACAUUUAUAUGCACUUAAAGUUGUACUUUAAAUGCAAAUGUUUAAUAGCAUUCUUUUUCAUAACAAACCAAUGCCAUUUUAAAUAUGAUUUUAUUUAAUAAUUGAAUUAGAAUUGUUUUAACACCAAUCAUAGUCAAACUAUCAAACUGUGUGACUUGAAAAAACACAACAUUUUUUUUAAAGAGCCGUUUGGGAGCCAAAGGAGCCAGCCCUUUUUGGUGAGCUGAGUCGAACAAGCCGGCUCACUUAAAAGAGACGGAAUGCCCAUCACUACUACUUUCACCUCUUAAUUUCACCUACUGUUCUAACUUGGUAGUGCACAAAUAGCCUAUAUAACCUGUUUUAGAGCAAUGUAAUCAUUGAAUAUUGUUAGCGCUUUCAUUGUCUGUUUAUAUGCCCCAUUUAUUUCUCCUACGGUUCUAACUUGUACAGGGAGAACACUGUAAGAGCGGCCCUUGUUCUGAAUUCUGUCACUGUACAUUUUCAAAAGUGCAAAACAAAUAGUUAGUGACUAUUUUGUCGUCACUUGCUCAUGUCUUAAUCGAAAUGACGGAUUGCCUCUUAUCCGCUUGUCGUCCCCUUAUGCCAUAGUUUGUACAUCUCAAUUGUCGGUAUUAAGCAAGUCAGCCAUAUCAGAUAUGUUUUUUUUAAAGACAGUAAAUGAGGCUGAAUGAAUUGUUUCGAUAACAGACAAGGCUCCGCUGAAAGCCAAGUGUAGCGGUGGUAAGGUGUUGGGACUCUGCUGUUGGGACUCUGCUGUAGCGACAGCUGUAUGUAGGCCCUAACAGUUUGUGGGCACCGUUUGUCACCGUUAUAGUGCAAUUAAUGUAUUGUUUAGUGUUGUGUCGUGUCGUGGCUUUGCUGGCAGGCAUCACACAUUUUUUUGUUUGCUCCACAAAGAUUUACAUGCUAAAAUCACCACUGCAUCCAUCCAUCACGGUUAUUAUCUUCUCUUUUCACCUGGCUCUAAUACUUCCAUAGAAAACUGCUUUACAAAUGAAUUAUUAUUAUUAUUACCUUCACAAAUAAGCAGUUUAUUCAUCAAUCCUGUAAACCUUUUUUAUUUGAAUGUUUAACGUUAUAUUAUCAAAGAAUAGAUAGCAGGGUUGUAUCAAUGGGGUUUGCUCUACAAGUCUUUUGCUGUUCUCUUGUGGUCAUUUGAAAAAUAGCAACAACUUUGGUCCUGAUUUCAAGCACUGCCCUGGGGUUUAUCCAGUGACCUGGGGUUUAUCCAGUGACAUGGGGUUUAUCCAGUGACCUGGGGUUUAUCCAGUGACCUGGGGUUUAUCCAGUAACCUGGGAUUUAUCCAGUAACCUGGGGUUUAGCCAGUGACAUGGGGUUUAUCCAGUGACAUGGGGUUUAUCCAGUGACAUGGGGUUUAUCCAGUGACCUGGGGUUUAUCCAGUGACCUGGGAUUUAUCCAGUAACCUGGGGUUUAGCCAGUGACAUGGGGUUUAUCCAGUGACAUGGGGUUUAUCCAGUGACAUGGGGUUUAUCCAGUGACAUGUGGGUUUAUCCAGUGACCUGGGGUUUAUCCAGUGACAUGGGAUUUAUCCAGUGACAUGGGGUUUAUCCAGUGACAUGGGGUUUAUCCAGUGACAUGGGGUUUAUCCAGUGACAUGGGGUUUAUCCAGUGACAUGUGGUUUAUCCAGUGACAUGUGGUUUAUCCAGUGACAUGGGGUUUAUCCAGUGACAUGGGGUUUAUCCAGUGACAUGGGGUUUAUCCAGUGACAUGGGGUUUAUCCAGUGACAUGGGGUUUAUCCAGUGACUGUCACGACUCCCGCUGAAGUUGGCUCUCCUGCCUGUUCGGCGGUGCUCGGCGGUCGUCGUCACCGGCCUACUAGCCGCCACGAUCCCUUUUUCUGUUUGUUUUGUCUUAUUAGUUACACCUGUGUCUAAUUGUGUUUUCCUGAUGUGCUUCCUUAUUUAAGCCUAGUAAACCCGCCCUUGUUUUGUGCGGGAUUAAUUUUGUGUUGUGUUGUGUCGUUGGGUUUGUUAGUAGUCCGGACCGUGUACCCUGUGUUUUGGGCAUUGUAUUUUGGUGCCAGAUUAAAGUGCACUUUUCCCUUUGCAA